UAACACGUGGGCAACCUGCCUGUAAGACUGGGAUAACUUCGGGAAACCGGAGCUAAUACCGGAUAAUCCUUUUCCUCUCAUGAGGAAAAGCUGAAAGACGGUUUACGCUGUCACUUACAGAUGGGCCCGCGGCGCAUUAGCUAGUUGGUGAGGUAACGGCUCACCAAGGCGACGAUGCGUAGCCGACCUGAGAGGGUGAUCGGCCACACUGGGACUGAGACACGGCCCAGACUCCUACGGGAGGCAGCAGUAGGGAAUCUUCCGCAAUGGACGAAAGUCUGACGGAGCAACGCCGCGUGAGUGAUGAAGGUUUUCGGAUCGUAAAACUCUGUUGUUAGGGAAGAACAAGUACAAGAGUAACUGCUUGUACCUUGACGGUACCUAACCAGAAAGCCACGGCUAACUACGUGCCAGCAGCCGCGGUAAUACGUAGGUGGCAAGCGUUGUCCGGAAUUAUUGGGCGUAAAGCGCGCGCAGGCGGUCCUUUAAGUCUGAUGUGAAAGCCCACGGCUCAACCGUGGAGGGUCAUUGGAAACUGGGGGACUUGAGUGCA
rnacentral:rRNA from 1 species